GCAAACUCGCGGCGGGGCGCGGCACCCGGAAGUACUCGCCGAGGCCCCGCCCCUCCCACCAAUAGCGCUGCCGGGGGAAGUGGCGCUUCCUUUCUGCGCUCGAGCUCAUCGUGGUACCAUCAGACGCUCUCUCAACAUGCAGAACGACGCCGGUGAGUUCGUGGACCUGUAUGUGCCGCGGAAAUGCUCCGCCAGCAACCGUAUCAUCGGCGCCAAGGACCACGCGUCCAUCCAGAUGAACGUGGCCGAGGUUGACAAAGUGACGGGCAGGUUUAACGGCCAGUUUAAAACCUACGCUAUCUGUGGGGCCAUUCGCAGGAUGGUGUGUGUCUCGGGGCUCCGCGCUUACCUUGUGGGCUUUUGAACCGGAAUAGCGUCCCCCUCGCUGUCCCCAAGCCUGAGCGGGGCGAGUCAGAUGAUUCCAUUCUCCGGCUGGCCAAGGCUGAUGGCAUCGUCUCAAAGAACUUCUGACUGAAGAGGAUCCCGGACAUGGAAUAUUUGUUAUAAAUAAAUAGUGAAAACUUA